GGGGAAAUGGCUCAGUGGUUAAGAGCACUGACUGCUCUUCCAGAAGAUCCGGGUUCAAUUCCCAGUACCCACA
rnacentral:tRNA from 1 species